AUGAGUUAGGGUCCCAGGCCCGACCUCCAACCCUGUGUCUAUGUUACCUUGUUGCUUUGGCGGGCCCGUCCUUUACUGGACCGCCAGGGGCCCCAACUCCCGGCCUGUGUCCGCCAAUAGCCCCCCUAAACUCUUAAUAAUUGUGUCGUCUGAGUUAAAAAUUAAUCGUUAA
rnacentral:misc_RNA from 1 species